GGGGACGCGUGGAUUCGACAGGGGAUGUUUUGGCAGAAUUGCAGGCCGAGGUGCCAUCGCCUCGCUAAACAGGUGGCAAAAAAGUAACAGGCGAGCGUGAGCUUGCCCUCGCUGCCUAACUAGGCAGCGACGUCCGCCUCCGCCUCUCCUCGAGGGUGGAGGGCCGGGCGCCAAGAAGUCGAGGUGCCGCCGAUCCCGACGCCGCUGGGGAGACGCGAAAGACCUUUAGCGGCUGGCCUGGGAUGACCCCGCCGGUCGGGGCGAUCCGGGCGAGAGCAAAAAGGCCGGCUACGCUUGUAGCAUAUUCUGCUGGGGUAUCCUUUGGACGGGGAGUUCGACUCUCCCCCGUCUCCACCA
rnacentral:tmRNA from 1 species